AUUGAACGCUGGCGGCAGGCCUAACACAUGCAAGUCGAGCGGAUGAAGGGAGCUUGCUCCUGGAUUCAGCGGCGGACGGGUGAGUAAUGCCUAGGAAUCUGCCUGGUAGUGGGGGAUAACGUCCGGAAACGGGCGCUAAUACCGCAUACGUCCUGAGGGAGAAAGUGGGGGAUCUUCGGACCUCACGCUAUCAGAUGAGCCUAGGUCGUAUUAGCUAGUUGGUAGGGUAAAGGCCUACCAAGGCGACGAUCCGUAACUGCUCUGAGAGGAUGAUCAGUCACACUGGAACUGAGACACGGUCCAGACUCCUACGGGAGGCAGCAGUAGGGAAUAUUGGACAAUGGGCGAAAGCCUGAUCCAGCCAUGCCGCGUGUGUGAAGAAGGUCUUCGGAUUGUAAAGCACUUUAAGUUGGGAGGAAGGGCAGUAAGUUAAUACCUUGCUGUUUUGACGUUACCAACAGAAUAAGCACCGGCUAACUUCGUG
rnacentral:rRNA from 1 species